UUCAGGCAUCAGGUCUGAGGGGAUCCCCUCGCACUUGCUCGGUUCUGUGUCUCCCAUGGAAGACACAUGCUCCCUGUGCCUCCCCCCUGCUCCGGAGUCUGCCCCUGGUCCUGAGAAUACUUUCUGCUGGCUGCUGCAGCCUAAAGUGGGAGCUUUUAGUUUGGACAUGCCUUCACUGCUGUUUGGAGAGGAGUACGUACAGCUCUCAGCCAAACAAACACGCCAGGCAGCAAAACAUCACCAGCACUGGGCUUCAGAAACCAUCCAACUGACAGAACAGCCAGUUUUUACGAGUUUGGGUGUGUUUGAAUCCAGGAAGGCAGCCACAGACCCAGCUGUGUGGGAUCUGCCUGCAGUACCAUUGGAAUGCACUUUAGUACAGUGGAGCACAGCUCUGUGAAGACAGACCUGCUAAAUAAACAGCCACGCUGACAUCUGAGAGGUGAGCUCCAGUCUCGGCCAUGUCAGCAUCACAAGAGCGCAUCGGGGAUGCUUUGCUCGCAGCUGGUUCACUGUCCUGCGCAUUUCCAGAGCUCCUGGAGGGUCUCCUGCUCUGACCUGGUGCAAAGGCAGCCGGCUGCACAGGGCACUCGGCUGCCCCGGUGUAAGGAAGGACAAAACGUUGUGUUCACAGGGGUACAAUAUAUUCAGGUGCACACUCCUAUUACUAUCAAGCCAUAACCUUCCCUACAACCUAGCAUGCUGAAUUUGCCCCUGGUAAAUGAUUCAUGGCAUGAGUCGGGGCGAAAAAAUGGGGAGGGUUGGAAGGUGAGUCAGAGUAAUCCAACUGCAGGGCUGGGCUUUGUCCUUUCAACUUGGCCCAAGGAUGUGUCAGUCUGGAGGUGAGUUAAGUGAUCCAAGUUGCCCCAGUGUUUGAGUGGUUUAAUUUAGUCACAUCAAGUUCUGCCACGUAGGGAUUUUUGGGAACCCUUUUCCACUAAACAUGCAGGAUUUGCUGCUCUGUUGAACCUUUCUCCCAGUUCUGGCUGUGCUUCAGAAAAAGCAGAUCCUUACUUCAAAAAUAAGCACCAUAUCAAUAGUGAACCUUUUAUUUAAACAGACAUAAGAACAACCCUACCCCUGAAUAAGAAAAAAAAUUACACCUUCCAGACUAGAAGCGAGAAACUACAAAGCUCAGCUCUGCCAAGCUGCUCUCACCCCAGGGUCAGGUAAGUGCAGUUGCCUCCAAGUAUUCACUCCUUGGUUUGGUUCCCAUUAAGGGGAAUCCUCACACUCAGACAUCUACUGACCAAGCUGCUCCUACAAAAUGACAUCAAUUUCACAAGAUCCUCACUGAGUUUAAGGUGAUUUUCUUUCUUUAAGUGUUACACUGUACUGAAGAUGUUAUCGAUGAAUAAACCACUUAAAGUCAUUUCAUUAAAGUAAUGAAACUAACUACUAAGCAACAUACUUAGACUCAGCUUUGUCUGUCUGGCAAAUCAUGAAUUUGUUUCAAGCAUUCCUAUGCUGAAAUGAGAUAUAUCUGUAUGAGGGGAACUUUUAUAUGUGCUAACACUGGCCUAUAUAUUUUAUAACACAUACACACACAAGAAUAAAAAACUGUUUAUUAAAAUAGUUUUGAGGUCAUGUAACUCACUGUUCACUAUAAAUAUUAGUUAUCUUACAGAUAAAACAUUUAAGUGUGUUUGUGGAGGGGUUGGGAUUUUUUUUUUUCAUUUUUAAUUUUUACCACAAAGAAAGUAUUUUCCUCCCAGUUUGAAUGGAUUUUUUUUUUACUCAUCCACACGAUCCUGAAAGUAUUCAUCCACAAGAGCAGAUUUAUCUUCUUCACAUUCCUGCCAAAGAGAAAACAGAAAAAUACAAACUUUAUAUAUAGGUUAAAAUCUAGAUCCAAGUAUUCUGCAGUACAGAAGAGUCAAAAAUGAAUUUAAAAAUGGAAUAAAAGCACUGGACUUGUUCCUUAGGUUUUAUGAGCUGAAUAAUAAAACUAGAGAAGGCUUGGAACAGAUUUUAACACAGUCUUCUAUGAUGUAUUUUACACAACAGAAUUUAUUUCUAAUCUCUGUCUCACAUGGGUUGCACACAGGAAUUAUCAGGAGAGUUUGAACAGUCAGGCAGGAAAAAAUCAUAGUGAUAUCAAUAGUCUUUUCUGACAUUUGAAAGUUAAAAUUCUGUUGAUGUCGGAAACCUAAAGCAUUACUUUCAAACACAACCCUUUGAUCAAUCUGCAUAUGCAAGAUGCUAUUAAAGAAUUCCACUUUUUUAACUGUAAAUGAAGGCGAUCCAGGCAUUGCCACCAACAGACUAAAGAUGGGCUGCUCUGAACCGUACUGAGACAAUAAUUUAUCAGCAAGGCAAAGAACAUAUUUAUAUUGUGGAUCCUUUUUAAAUUUCUUCAUCUCCUCCCCAGAAUCCCCUUACCUUUGGCUCCUUAAACUCCAGGUCCUCUCCGUACUGGAUGGUGCAGUCAAUGUGCUGCAGGACGAUGUGGAUGCUUUCCUCGUCGGAGCGGUCGAAAGGCAGAAAUCGAACCAUUCCGUAGUCAUCAAUCUGGGGGGAGGAGCCAAACCAAAAUGCACUUUCAAAUGGGUACCUUGAAAGAUUCCACCAUGAACUGAGAAUCCACGAGGAACACUCCACAGACACGGAAUUCCCACUGCUGGAGCUGCUCCACCAGCUGUUUCAUCACUGGCAGG